AUUAGGGAUCGGACAAUCUCAAUANUUAUGUGUUGUCCGGCGCCUUACGAGAAAUCAAAGUCUUUGGUUCUGGGGGGAGUAUGGUCGCAAGGCUGAAACUUAAAGGAAUUGACGGAAGGGCACCACCAGUUUUGGAGCCUGCGGCUUAAUUUGACUCAACACGGGGAAACUCACCAGGUCCAGACAUAACUAGGAUUGACAGAUUGAUAGCUCUUUCAUGAUUUUAUGG
rnacentral:rRNA from 1 species